AAAAAUGCCAUUUAUAUUUUUGUCCCCCAAAAUCAGAGAACUCUAACUAUCCUAGGUUAUUCUCCUAAGUUCCAAUUAGAUUUCUCCUCCGUCGCACUCUGCUGCCGUCUUCCAUGGCGUCGUCGUCAUCCCUCUGCGUCGCCCACAGGUGCUUUGUUCUGCUCCGCUCGUCCGACUUGCCUAUUGCAUCCCUUCGUCCCGCCUUGUCUCAUGGCGCCUCGCGGUGCCUUGCCUCAAAUCGCCGCUCCUCAAAUCUUCCUCCUACUACACUAAGAACGGGAGAAAUGUUAUUCUUAAAAUACUUAGUAGUCAAACGGCACCUCCCAAUUCUAAUGCUUCGAUGUGUUGUUGGUGAGAGAUUUGGGGGCACAAUUGGCCUCUAUUCCCACUAGCAAUCAAGAAACUGAACUCACCAUUGACGAUGACUUUGAUAUCUCUGGAUUGAAGCCCCUCAAAGUCCCUACCAAGAUCUUCUUCAAACAUUCUUCCAUGGAUCCCCACAAAAAGGGUUCUGCAGAAGCUGAGUUUUUCACUAAGUAUGGAGAGGCAAGCCGAUACCAAAUCCACGAAGUCAUCGGGAAAGGAAGUUAUGGCGUCGUGGGCUCUGCCAUUGAUACUCAUACUGGGGAAAAAGUUGCAAUCAAGAAAAUCAAUGAUGUUUUUGAACAUGUAUCGGAUGCUACAAGAAUCCUAAGAGAAAUUAAGCUCCUGCGCUUGCUUCGCCAUCCUGAUAUAGUAGAAAUUAAACAUAUUAUGCUUCCUCCUUCCCGUCGAGAGUUUAAGGAUAUCUACGUUGUCUUUGAGUUGAUGGAAUCUGACCUUCAUCAAGUAAUCAAGGCAAACGAUGAUCUUACACCUGAGCAUCACCAAUUUUUCUUGUACCAACUUCUUCGAGGCCUCAAAUAUAUACAUACAAUAUACCCCUGCAAUUGAUAUCUGGAGCAUUGGAUGCAUAUUUGCAGAAAUGCUCAAUGAAAAGCCAUUGUUUCCGGGUAAAAAUGUGGUGCACCAAUUGGAUCUCAUGACCGAUUUGCUUGGCAGUCCUCCACCUGAGUCCAUUGCAAGGGUAGCAGCUAAUUAUGUAGUAAUGGUUCCUUCCGGAUAGGUAAAUCCACUGAUGAUAAAACUAUAUCAAUCUCAACUCAUCUUCAUGAAUUCCAAUAUUUAGAAUGAUGUUUCUUCCCGUGUAUUGUCUGAACCUCAUCCAAGAAAAGAAACGAAAGAUUAAUGCAGAAAAGAAGAGGAAAGAGCUCGAGAAGGAGAGAGCGAAGGAUGAACUUCUGACGAGAAAGCGCCAGAAUGCUUUGGUGUUGCUUUGUGAUUGUAGGUGGUCCAAAAGCAGUAUGUGCUGGUUGUGCUGGCUUUGCGGCAUUCUCAGUCGUUAUAGAGAAAUUCUUAGACAGGCAUGAGUAGUUACCUAUUGAAUUGAAGUCACCCAAUUUUGUAUUCAUUAGGCAUAGCAUGAAUUUUCAUAGUGAUAAUCUUUUGCCCAUUUGCUAAAGGGCGCAUACAAAAUUGUAGUAUUUUAUUUUACAUCAAUUAUUGUUUAUUUAUAUACA